rnacentral:lncRNA from 1 species
UCAAAACAAACAAAAAUUCACUCAUUCAUAUUUCACAUAAUCUCUCUCACCAUCAUAAUUAGAGAAAACCACCCUCGUAUCAUUCUCCAUUCUCGCACUACUCACAUACACACAAUCUUCUUCUCAUAACAACCACCACCUAUUACAUCUUCACUUGGAUUUAACCUAGAAUACCUAAGAAAGAGUAGGAGAAAAGAAGAUGGAGCUUCAACCUUUCUCGCAAAAUCUUAGGGAACACAAACUUUCCUUUCUCUUUGUGAGCAAUGGGUUUCAAGAAGAAGAGAAAUAAGUAGAUGUAGAAGAAGUUGAAAGAAGCUAGGGUUUUUCUCAUGCGAGUUGAAAUUAGAAGUAACAUAGAAUUCCUUUAAAACCUUUCUAGAGUGUGCUUUGAGUUUUUAUUUAUUUAUUGAAUUUAGAAUUUGAUUAAAGUGAAUCAAUUCAUUUCUCUCUCUUGCAUAUGUUAGGACAAAUUAUGACUAGUUUCUAUUGAAUUUGAUGUUUGCAUGUCUCUUUGGAAUAAAAUGUCUUGCUUAGUUUUAAUAUCUAGUUAUAGGAAUGAAAAGUUGAGCUAGAAUUCUGAUAUGAAUGGAUUUGGUAUGCAAGGAAAAUUGAUUGAUUUGGGUGGAAUUGAUAAGCGAAAAGUGUAAGCCUUUUAAACCUGUAUGACACCCUAUUAGUAUAAUACUCAUAACUUUCACCACAAAUAUCAUAUAGUAAUGAUUCUUAAAUCAUUAGAAAAUAUAGACAUAAUUCUCUUCAUAUUACACACUAAAAUAAUUAAUUUUCGCUAAUAUUAAUAGGAGAAAUUCGGCUUAAAUGUUAGGUAAUAUUUGUUGUCAUGAUUUUAUACCUUCAUGUUUUCUUCUAAUAAUUUUAACCAAUUGAAUAUUUAUCUUGCAAAAAUAAAAUUAUACUUAUAAACUAGACAUAUCAGACUUUCCAACAAAUGAUUGUUUACUCAAACUAAACAUCGUUUGAAAUUUUAAUUAAAUUGUCAAAAUUGAUGUAUAAUUGCUAAAUAUGUGAUUUUUAGGUUGUUUCAGGUAAAUUAUUUCUAAUCACAUUUUUCGUUUUUCUUUUUAUAUUAUAUGGUAUUUGUGGUGUGGUGCACUCAAGAAUCUAUUAUAUAUAUUUAAAACAGACUCCCAUGUCAACUCUCAUGCCACCUCAUAGUAUUUCUUCCACGUGUGCAAACAUAUCCCACCUCAACAAAAAAGCUUAUGUGUACGCCUUAGAGAGUUCUCUUGUGUUUUUAUGUUUCACCUCAUUUUUUCUAAUUAGUUUCUAAAUAGUUUUUUUUUCCUCUUUUAAUCCCUCUAAUCCCUAAUUUUUUUAAUGACUUCCUCCAACAAUUUCUUCUUCCCUCGUGUAUAGGUUGGUUCGUUGCAACAACAAAAAUUCUUCUCUUUGUCUAUUUCUAAUUUUGGUGCCAUGUUCACCUCAUUUUUUUCUAUUUAGUUUCUAAAUAAUUUUUUCAUCUUUUAAUUCCUCUAAUCCCUAAUUUUUUAAUGACUUCCCAGUCAUUCGCCAUCCUCGCAUAAUCAUCUUCUUCUUCGAAAUUGCCGACUCUACUCCAAAGAUACACUAAAAGAGGUAUAGGUUGACCAAAGAUACACUGAAAGAGGUAUAGGUUGGUUCGUUGCAACAAAAAAAAAUCUUCUCUUUGUCUAUUUCUAAUUUUGGUGUCAUGUUCACCUCAUUUUUUUCUACUUAGUUUCUAAAUAAUUUUUUCCUCUUUUAAUUCCUCUAAUCCCUAAUUUUUUUAAUGACUUCUCAUUCAUUCGCCAUCCUCACAAAAUCAUCUUAUUCUUCGAAAUUGCCGACU